CUACCAAUCCCCAAAAAUCCGGCCAACCACUCCAUAAUUAUCAUGUGAGCUCAAUUAUACCAACCAAAUCAGCAUCCAAAGCAUCUAGCAUGGCCUAUAAAUAGAGAUCAAGGAGAUUGAAUGAAAACACACACUAAUAUUUUCUAAACUCUCUAGCCACACUCUCUCAACCUCUAGCCAACGAAAUUAUCUUACCCAUAAGCUCAUAAUCAAAGACCAACCAUCACAAACCACAAAUCAGAAGCGUCAAGAAGCCAGAAAUCAAAAAUCAAGCUUGAAAAGGUAGGAAAUCCUAAAUUCUAGAAAUCCUUCGAUUCGAUGUUAAUUGAUGCAAUUGAUUGUUUAAAGUUGUGUAAUAGAGAGUCUAUUAAUGUUCUGGAUUGUUAAAUUCAUGACCCAUAACAUCAAAG
rnacentral:lncRNA from 1 species